AAAUAUGAAGUGAUGCCCGGUAAAGAAUUUGGUUUUAACAAUCACUCACUGCUUUAUAAUUGUAGAUAGGUAAAAGGAAACAAAAUAUGAAGUAUCCUUGCUGGUCGGCCGAAACCCCCACCCUGAGAAAUGGUAUUUCUCCAAUUCUCGUUCAGACUAGAAGUUAAUUCAUAUUUAGUAAGAAGUAAAAGUUUAAUUUCAAACAAAUUUUAUAGAUGGUUACCAAGACAAGUAAAUACAAACAAGUCCAGCAUUUUUCCAAUUAAGCACUAUGCUUUGAGCAAAUCAAAUAACAGGUUGAUAUAUCUUCCUACCAAAAAAAAAACCAAAGAACAAACCCGUAAUACCUAAUUACCUACAGUAUAAUUAUAUUUUGCAUCUCAUAUGCAAGAUCGGAAUAACAAGCUAAGAGGGUUCUGUAUUACCAGUCAUCGCACUUCGAGUAUUAGCUCUUCUACGGUCAUUGCGAAACCCUGGCGAACGGGAAUUUGUCCGUUGACCAUUGUGCUCCACUUGUUUUCUAGUAUCAUAAGAGCUCUUAUAACCUGCUUGCUGAAAUCAUAAUAGGACACAUCUAAAUCAGUUAAAAUGUUAGAAGUUGGAUCAAUACAAUUAAUGAUUUCCAGGACUUCCAACCUAAGAUGUUAAAAGAGAGUAGGCACAAAAAAUUGUUGCAAAAAAAAACUUCACUCUAGAACUAAAGUGAACAGGAAUUAAACAAAAACAAAAACAAAAAAAAGAUAGGUGUAACUAACUCCAAUAUCCUGAAAGAAGGCACUAAUGCAAUAAGCAUUUCAACAAGUUCGAACACAUUAAAAAGAUUAAUCAACAGUAGAAAAGUCCUCCACCAUGGCGAACUGAUAUGAUUUGAAGGCUCUUGUUCCAGCAUGGUGAACUAAUAUGAUUUGAAGGCUAAAGAAGUCAUCAAUGCUACCCACAUGGAAGAAUAUGAUAGUCUAUGCUUGCCAUAUAUAUAUAUAUAUAUAUAUAUAUAUAUAUAUAUAUAGUUGAGCUAGAAUACUAUCGAUAGCAAACGGGCUCCAUUGCCACCCAUUUGUUUUCGAUGAUAGAGCCUCCAAAUUGACGAUCGGCACCGUUGAACAUGAUCUAUACCACUUGAAGUGUUUAGAAAUCAAAUUUCAAAUCUUUUCGACAUCAUUUGCCUAAUAAUCAAAGAGUUUCAAAAUUUGUAAUUUUAAUGGUCAAUAUGAGGCGUUUUUUCGUUUAACGGCGUAAAGAUAUCCAAAUCAAUUGAAUUUUGUUAGAAAAUUAUUGAAACUGUUUAAAACAAGAUCUAUACUCUUGAUCUUGAUUACAAGACUCCUACCAUCAUUUUUUUAAAGAAUAUUCAUUUUCAGCCGUUCAUUUUUGUGUCCACUCGAUGGAUAAAAGAACAAUGUCGAAAAUGUAUGAAAUUUGACUUCUAAACACUUCAAGUGGUAUAGAUCAUGUUCAAUGGUGCUGAUCGUCGAUUUGGA
rnacentral:lncRNA from 1 species